rnacentral:lncRNA from 1 species
AAAAAAAAAAAAAAAAUCCCCUAGUCUUAUUCGCGUCGACGAUGCAAAAUGGGGCUGGGCCUCGGAGAAGAAGGGGAACGUGAACCUUUUGCAAAAGUGAUGUUCCCAUCUAAUUAUAAGGUUCUUCUAAUGGCCUCCUCGUGGGCCGCAGCCGACAUGGCUCGGCCCAAUUGGACAUUAGGCCCAGUUUCAGCUCACAUUCAUGUCCUCUUCUUCAUCGUUUAAAGUUUUUUUUAAAAAAAAGGGAAAAGAAAAAAGGAAAACAUAUAAGAAGCAAUGGGUAGAAAUUUUCCCAAAUGCUGACCCAUCUUCAUCACUGGAAGUGAUCUGAGGUUAGCCAAAAAGUUAGAUCUAGUGAACGAGAUGGAUUCCCCUCCCCUGAGGGCCAUUUUAACAACAGUACAAAAACACAGACCUCUCCAUAAAUCCGGUCCGCUAUCAUUGUUCGAAAAAUGUUGGCGAAUGGUUGAUUGGUUGUUUCCGUAUCCGCAGGUGAAUGGUGAUGUAGCGAUUAUUCGAGCUCUCAAAUAUUUGUCCUCCCUCUACUCGUUCUCGUCUACUUUAUGUACUGGCAUUGGCCUCGUGAGUGUCAUGUGAACGAACUUUUGACAUUUUGUUAACUUUGUGAGAUUCGGUUGUUGGAAAUUGAUGAAGCACGAGGUUUGUGGGGAUUAAAACAAUAAGAUUAUUCACAUUAUUAAUCUGUAAAUGGAAAAAAAAAGGGGAAAAAUUGGAUCGUCAUCCUUUGUCGAAUGCAGAGAAUUACAAUUAUGCUGAGAAGUAUCUUCCCGUACAUCCCAUUCCAUAUUUAGUUUAAACUUUUUUAACUUCUAAAAAAGAAUUGUUGAUUUUGGUUUGGUUUGGUUUGGGUUAUAAGAUAACUUGAAACAAAGCCGAUGUUAUUUACCACCUAACCAAUCCAAGACACAAAUUUUGAUUUGUUUUGGAUUUGAUUUGUUGGUUUGAACACUUGAUUUUAAAAAAGUUUAUAUAUUUUGUUGGUUAUUAUAUAGAUAUUUUUUAAUCUAUUAUGUUGAUUUUUUCAAUUAAUUAGGCGCCUCCAGUAAUAGCGGGUAAAAAUUAUGUGGACAUAGUUUCUACAUUAAUAUUUUUAGGGACGUUCCGAAUAGGCGCCACGUGGCGCGCAAGUAUUUAUCUCACCGUCUUUUUUUUGUCUUAAAAAUUAUAAUUUUUUUAGAGAGAAAAAAUAAUAGAGAAAUAAAAAGGGACGAUAGGAUAAGCGCCUGCAAGCUACGUAGCGCCCACCGAGAGCGUCCCCGAAAAUGCUAAUUUGGGCACUAUAUCCGUACAAUUUUUGUAACAGUAGUAGCUUUGUCUACAUGUACAUAUCUACACACACGUCACGUUCACGUGACCAGCCAAGUCACGCUAAACUGCGCACCGACCCCCGCCUCGGGCGCAUUCUAGCAGCCUUUUAGUGCGCUCCACUCCACUCCCCUCCUCUCCAGCUCAUUCCUCCUCCGCUUCCGCUUCCACCGAUGCCGCGGCGCUUCUCCGGCGACCAGAAACCCCACUCCGCCGCAGAGAAACGCAUCUCCGGCGACCGGAGACCGAUCUUCGCCGCCGCGAGAACGCCGGAGAGAUGGAACGCCGCCGCCCCGCCGGCCGGCGGGAACCCGCCGGAGCGUCGCCGGAGCCCGGCGAUUUCAUUCCUCAGAUCGAUCGGAUCGUGUUUCACCAACCCCGAACCCCAUUCGCCUCCGGCUAGGUCUCCUCGUAAGAUUCUUCUUCCCCCUCGCCCGAUCAUCUAUUUGAAUUCGCUUCGGACACCCUAGAAACUCNAUUCGCGUCGACGAUGCAAAAAGGCUGGGCCUCGGAGAAGAAGGGGAACGUGAACCUUUUGCAAAAGUGAUGUUCCCAUCUAAUUAUAAGGUUCUUCUAAUGGCCUCCUCAUGGGCCGCAGCCCACAUGGAUCGGCCCAAUUGGCCAUUAGGCCCAGUUUCAGCUCACAUUCAUGUCCUCUUCUUCAUCGUUUAAAAAAAAAGGGAAAAGAAAAAAGGAAAACAUAAAAGAAGCAAUGGGUAGAAAUUUUCCCAAAUGCUGACCCAUCUUCAUCACUGGAAGUGAUCUGAGGUUAGCCAAAAAGUUAGAUCUAGUGAACGAGAUGGAUUCCCCUCCCCUGAGGGCCAUUUUAACAACAGUACAAAAACAUAGACCUAUCAUUGUUCGCAAAAUGUUGGCGAAUGGUUGAUUGGUUGUUUCCUUAUCCGCAGGUGAAUGGUGGUGUAGCGAUUAUUCGAGCUCUCAAAUAUUUGUCCUCCCUCUACUCGUUCUCGUCUACUUUAUGUACUGGCAUUGGCCUCGUGAGUGUCAUGUGAACGAACUUUUGACAUUUUGUUAGCUUUAUGAGAUUCGGUUGUUGGAAAUUGAUGAAGCACGAGGUUUGUGGGGAUUAAAACAAUAAGAUUAUUCACAUUAUUAAUCUGUAAAUGGAAAAAAAAAAGGGGAAAAAC